AGAGUUUGAUCCUGGCUCAGGAUGAACGCUGGCGGCGUGCCUUAUACAUGCAAGUUGAGCGGUAACAGUUCCUCACUUUUCUUUUGAAUCUUAAGUAUUCGAAGGCGAAGUGAGGAAGCUGACGAGCGGCGAACGGGUGAGUAAUACGUAGGAACCUGCCUCAAAGUGAGGGAUAACCUAUCGAAAGGUAGGCUAAUACCGCAUAUGGUCUUUAGAUUAAAGCCUUCGGGCGCUUUGAGAAGGGCCUGCGCAAGAUUAGUUUGUUGGUGAGGUAAUGGCUCACCAAGACGAUGAUCUUUAGCUGGUUUGAGAGGAUGAUCAGCCACACUGGAACUGAGAUACGGUCCAGACUCCUACGGGAGGCAGCAGUAGGGAAUAUUCCACAAUGGGCGAAAGCCUGAUGGAGCAACGCCGCGUGCAGGAUUAAGGCCUUCGGGUUGUAAACUGCUUUUAUAUGUGAAGAAUAUGACGGUAGCAUAUGAAUAAGCCUCGGCUAACUCCGUGCCAGCAGCCGCGGUCAUACGGAGGAGGCAAGCGUUAUCCGGAUUUACUGGGCGUAAAGAGUUGCGUAGGCGGUUUUGUAAGCAAAUAGUGAAAUCAUGUGGCUCAACCAUACUGACUAUUAUUUGAACUGCAGAACUUGAGAGCGAGAGGGGUGAUUGGAAUUCCCGGUGUAGGAGUGAAAUCCGUAGAUAUCGGGAGGAACACCAAUGGCGUANGCAGAUCACUGGCUCGUUUCUGACGCUAAGGCACGAAAGCGUGGGUAGCAAACGGGAUUAGAUACCCCGGUAGU
rnacentral:rRNA from 1 species